ACGGGAGGCAGCAGUGGGGAAUAUUGCACAAUGGGGGAAACCCUGAUGCAGCAACGCCGCGUGAAGGAAGAAGGUUUUCGGAUCGUAAACUUCUAUCAACAGGGACGAAGAAAGUGACGGUACCUGAAUAAGAAGCCCCGGCUAACUACGUGCCAGCAGCCGCGGUAAAACGUAGGGGGCAAGCGUUAUCCGGAAUUACUGGGUGUAAAGGGUGAGUAGGCGGCAUGGUAAGCCAGAUGUGAAAGCCCGCAGCUUAACUGCGGGACUGCAUUUGGAACUACUAAGCUAGAGUACAGGAGAGGUAAGCGGAAUUCCUAGUGUAGCGGUGAAAUGCGUAGAUAUUAGGAAGAACACCGGUGGCGAAGGCGGCUUACUGGACUGGAAACUGACGCUGAGGCACGAAAGCGUGGGGAGCAAACAGGAUUAGAUACCCUGGUA
rnacentral:rRNA from 2 species